UACAGAGGUCUCGAGCGUUGUUCGGAUUCAUUGGGCGUAAAGGGUGCGUAGGUGGCGCUGUAAGUCGGGUGUGAAAUCCUGAGGCUUAACCUCGGAACUGCAUUCGAUACUGCGGCGCUGGAGUACUGCAGGGGAGACUGGAAUUCCUGGUGUAGCGGUGAAAUGCGUAGAUAUCAGGAGGAAUACCGGUGGCGAAAGCGACUCUCUGGACGGCAACUGACGCUGAGGCACGAAAGCGUGGGGAGCAAACAGG
rnacentral:rRNA from 1 species